rnacentral:rRNA from 1 species
ACGCUGGCGGCGUGCCUAAUACAUGCAAGUCGAACGCACAGCGAAAGGUGCUUGCACCUUUCAAGUGAGUGGCGAACGGGUGAGUAACACGUGGACAACCUGCCUCAAGGCUGGGGAUAACAUUUGGAAACAGAUGCUAAUACCGAAUAAAACUUAGUGUCGCAUGACACAAAGUUAAAAGGCGCUUCGGCGUCACCUAGAGAUGGAUCCGCGGUGCAUUAGUUAGUUGGUGGGGUAAAGGCCUACCAAGACAAUGAUGCAUAGCCGAGUUGAGAGACUGAUCGGCCACAUUGGGACUGAGACACGGCCCAAACUCCUACGGGAGGCUGCAGUAGGGAAUCUUCCACAAUGGGCGAAAGCCUGAUGGAGCAACGCCGCGUGUGUGAUGAAGGCUUUCGGGUCGUAAAGCACUGUUGUAUGGGAAGAACAGCUAGAAUAGGAAAUGAUUUUAGUUUGACGGUACCAUACCAGAAAGGGACGGCUAAAUACGUGCCAGCAGCCGCGGUAAUACGUAUGUCCCGAGCGUUAUCCGGAUUUAUUGGGCGUAAAGCGAGCGCAGACGGUUUAUUAAGUCUGAUGUGAAAGCCCGGAGCUCAACUCCGGAAUGGCAUUGGAAACUGGUUA